GGUGCUAUAGUGUAGUGGUCAUCACUCAGGAUUUUGAAGUUAGAGCGCCAGUGCAGACCGUCGUUUACUUGAAUUUUCCUGGAACCCAGGUUCGAACCCUGGUAGCACCU
rnacentral:tRNA from 1 species